UGGGGAAUUUUGGACAAUGGGCGCAAGCCUGAUCCAGCAAUGCCGCGUGCAGGAUGAAGGCCUUCGGGUUGUAAACUGCUUUUGUACGGAACGAAAAGACUCCUUCUAAUAAAGGGGGUCCAUGACGGUACCGUAAGAAUAAGCACCGGCUAACUACGUGCCAGCAGCCGCGGUAAUACGUAGGGUGCGAGCGUUAAUCGGAAUUACUGGGCGUAAAGCGUGCGCAGGCGGUUAUAUAAGACAGGUGUGAAAUCCCCGGGCUCAACCUGGGAACUGCAUUUGUGACUGUAUAGCUAGAGUACGGCAGAGGGGGAUGGAAUUCCGCGUGUAGCAGUGAAAUGCGUAGAUAUGCGGAGGAACACCGAUGGCGAAGGCAAUCCCCUGGGCCUGUACUGACGCUCAAGCACGAAAGCGUGGGGAGCAAACA
rnacentral:rRNA from 1 species